CCGGGUGGCGAGCGGCGGACGGGUGAGUAAUGCCUAGGAAUCUGCCUGGUAGUGGGGAAUAACGCUCGGAAACGGACGCUAAUACCGCAUACGUCCUACGGGAGAAAGCAGGGGACCUUCGGGCCUUGCGCUAUCAGAUGAGCCUAGGUCGGAUUAGCUAGUUGGUGGGGUAAUGGCUCACCAAGGCGACGAUCCGUAACUGGUCUGAGAGGAUGAUCAGUCACACUGGAACUGAGACACGGUCCAGACUCCUACGGGAGGCAGCAGUGGGGAAUAUUGGACAAUGGGGGGAACCCUGAUCCAGCCAUGCCGCGUGUGUGAAGAAGGCCUUUUGGUUGUAAAGCACUUUAAGCGAGGAGGAGGCUCCUUUAGUUAAUACCUAAAGUGAGUGGACGUUACUCGCAGAAUAAGCACCGGCUAACUCUGUGCCAGCAGCCGCGGUAAUACAGAGGGUGCGAGCGUUAAUCGGAUUUACUGGGCGUAAAGCGUGCGUAGGUGGCCAAUUAAGUCAAAUGUGAAAUCCCUGAGCUUAACUUAGGA
rnacentral:rRNA from 1 species